CGAGCCGACCGGGCGGCCGCGUCCGGCAUCCGGGUCCCGGGUGCCGGCCGAGGAAAGUCCGGGCUCCACAGGGCAGGGUGGUUGCCAACAGCAACCCGGGGUGACCCGCGGGACAGUGCCACAGAAAACAGACCGCCGCCGGGGCGACCCGGCGGUAAGGGUGAAACGGUGGUGUAAGAGACCACCAGCGGUGCGAGUGAUCGCACCGGCUCGGUAAACCCCACCCGGAGCAAGGUCGAGAAGGAUCGCGCGGGCGACCGCGCGAUCCGCGCAGGCGAUCGAGGGCGGCCCGCCCGAGCCUGCGGGUGGACCGCAAGAGCCUGCCGGCGACGGCAGGUCGAGAUGGAUGGCCGUCUCCGGCGCGUCAGCGCCGGAACAGAACCCGGCUUACAGGUCGACUCGUCCG
rnacentral:RNase_P_RNA from 1 species